CUAUAGGGUAAUUUAAACAAAAAUACAAGGACUAAUAGGAGGACCAAGUAGUUGGUUUCGUUAAAAUACAAGUACUAAAUAAUAAUUUUUCCCAUUAUUAUACCAUAACAGCACAUCUAACACUUUGAAAGAUAGCGACUCAUUCAAAUCAUAUAUAUUAUAUAAUUGUUUAAAAGCUAAUGUUAGAUUAAAAUAACACAAGGAAAAAGAAGAUGCAAGUGAUUCAUGGAAAUGGAUAGACAUCACUUGCAUUCUUUAAUGGAAUCUUGUCUCAAUCAUCAUAAGUUUUCCCUACCAGAAUCUUGUCUGAUUAUGUUCUUGAUCAGUUUCAUAAUCGAGCCAUCUGUUCGUAAUGCACUCCGCGUGGAAAUCACAAGGAGAAAUUACCAAGAAUAUCGUGGUGGGGUAGAAAGUGUCUCUCUACAAAUUCUGAACAGUUGGGAACUAGUCAGUUGCCCUGAAAAUCAGAAUCACAAUCAAUAAUAGUAGAGAGAGACGUCAAGGAGACAAUCAAAGCACUAACUUAUCUAUGCAGACUGGAGAGUGAAUAUGCACAGAAGUAAACAAAAGCUUCCCUCUCAAUUAUUUCUAGUGGGAAUGGGGAUUCAUGCACGAUAUCAUAACAUUAACUACAUGAUUCAUAAGAAAUGGAAACAGAAUUUAGACUUGGAGAAAUUACUCGAUUCAUUCUAGCAUGAUAGUGAAUAAUCAUAGAAGAGAGAGAACAGAAUUGUCCUCAACUAAAAAUUUCCAUAUGUGCAGGAUUAUUCUACAUGAUCUUCAAGUUCUCAUAAUGGCUUUUUCCUUCUGAAUAAUUGUAUUAAUCCAUAGUUACUCUUUGCAGUAAAAAUUUCAAAGUCAGCAGAACAGACAAUACCUCCAUGGCUCCAUCAUUCAGAAAAUGGAAACUAAUCUAUCAAGUUCUUCUUUUUCUCAUAACAAGUUCCUAUUGUCAUUCAAAAUUCAAUCAUUUACUAGUUGAUUAUGGCCCAUCAAUUCACACAGAGGAUAAUACCGAUUAACACUUCAAGUCUUUUCAUGCACAGAAACAAACAGACAUGAUUCAAGUACUCCACUCAAGGUUCUGAUCAUUCCUAGGAACAAACACAUGGCUCCAACAGUUUGAGGUAAGCCUUUUUAUAGAUCAUGGAGACUCAAAUUCAAGGCAUAAAUCACUUUACCAUGAACUUAUCAAGCAGCCUUUUUUUCACCUGCAAAUUCAUGUCAGCAUAUCAUUAGGGAACAUCAACAAGUUGGUUUGAUCUAAAAGCAUAAAGUUCAAUUAUUGUUAUUGAUGAUAACAUAAUUUCCUUUAAAUUUGCCUAUGUUGAACCUAAACACUUCCAUCAGUUGGUAUUCAAUCAAAAGAAAGCAACGCUGCCAACAGAAACCUUCAUGUUUAAAACCUAAAUCCAAAAAAUAACACAGUAAAGCACAUAUUAAUUCCACAUUGAUCAGAAAGAGAUGAGGAGACAACAUUAUAACGACAGAUCCACAAUCAAUUGCCUUUGAUUUUUGGAUCGAAGGUGGUAUUCAACUAGUGCAACUUAAUGAUUCCUCUCUAUAAGUGUAGAGAUAUAGUGUAGAGAUGAUAGCAGAUUCUUAGUUUUAGUAUUAGGUUUGAACAGGACGCUUACUAGGUUAUUCCUGCAAGCUAAAGAAAGCAUAGAAAACAUUCUAGGAUAAGCUAAAAACCAACCUAUCAUUUUUUUUUUGGAUAGACUGAAAACAAAAACAACCUAUCAAUUUACCUAGAGAUAUUAGUAAUAUGAGAUUAUAAAUUAUAAUUACUCUUAGAGCUUUUUACAGUGAAUAACCUUUUACUUUCAAUGGUGUCAGACACAUCAAGGUAAAAACUCUCAAGGGUUAUGCCUCCAAUUUGUUUCUACUUACUAAGACUAAUACCACCAAAGAAGACCGCACUGAUAGUUUCUGAAGUACACUAAUGAAUCCCAUGUCUAUCAAAAAUUGCAGAUUGAGAGUGGCCUAUAUGUAUGCUUUGGAAUAAGAAAUGUCACAUAUCGAAUUCAAAAUGCAUGACCUCUAAAUUGAUUUACUUAAUAAGAAAUCAGCAACCCAGGAGCACAAAAGUUAAGUCAAAUUCCUUUCACUAGCUCAUGUAUUCCACUUAAUCCAUUGUUCAACUUUUGCAUUAAGUGUCCAGUCUCUCACCACAUAUACAUCCUACAUGGCAGCCCACACCAUUAUGAGGAAUCAAAACAAUGCUUGAAUCAAAUGGAAUAAUUUUCAAUUAUAAUUGUAAUUAAAGGAAUUCAAUCUACAAUUAUAGUUCCGCAGGCACCUCAAAAUAUACUUCACGGGGGUUUUAUCAAUAGCCAAGUGAAACUAACACAUUGAAAGCACCAACAAACCAUAGAUAGGAGUCAUGACACAAAAUCUUGGCUGCCAUGUGCUGGCUUUAAAAAUUUGUUCACAACAAAACCCAAACCUUUUUUAUAGCAUGCAUUUUACAAGCAAAGGUUUAAUAUACAAUUCCUACGUCCAUUACGCUACAUUCCAGCAAGGUAUAAAAGAAAAAUGGUAUAUCUCUGAUUAAACAGAUCCUAUAGUAACAGUGUCCUUGAAAAAGUUACAAUUGAUUUUAUUUGGGCUGAAUACUUGCCCAAGAAAAUUCAGAUAGCACUGCAGUUACAGCCAGUCAGUACCUCUUCUUCACUUCUUAACUUGAGAAACUUGAACAAUACAAUAAACCAAUUGUGAAUUCCUUAUGUGCUGAAUAAGUUGCAUAAAAUGUCCCUAAUUCAGAGAGCUAAGCAGAAACAAAAACGUGUAUCAACUAUCAAGUGAGGUAGGAUAGUGCAUUCCAUCUUUUAGAUGGCUUAUUGCUGGGGGACAUAACCAUUUAAGCAAGUUUGGACCCAAUACCAUGGUGAUAUUUUUGUAAGCACUAAGGUCGAAGGGAUGCCGAUAAAUCUGCCCAGAUUUCCUAGCCAGCCAUGAAGCACGAAUUCCCUCAUAAUACUCUGUAGUUUUCAUAUUAUGAGUGAUAAGGUAAGUGUGCCAACCAAAGAGAGUUCCAAGUGUUCCGCUCAAGGCUACCAUCAAUAAUCCAGAGACAACCACGCAAUAUGAAUAAUUCCUCCUGUCAGGGGCCUACAGUAAGACGAGAUAUUCUACUUUUUCAAUCAAAGUGAAUCCUUCCUAGUGUUUCCCUUCUUCCCUUCAUUUCUUUCUUCCUUUCAGCAAAACAUUACAUUGGGGCUUUGCUUUUCUUCUGUUGUUACAUCUCUUGUAUACGCCUGGGUAUUGGGCAAGUUGCAAUAAAAGAUCUUUACGGGAACUCUUGCACCAAAAUCCCAGUUCUCUUGAAAUGUACAGCAGAUUAUAAUGACCAAAGAAUGGAAGCUUGCUACUGUUGCAUGGAGAACUAAUAUGAAAAAGGCCUUAUAGUUCCAAUAACCAACACAAUUAUUUAUCCACAGACAAUGAUGAUCCAUCCUCAAAACACACCUUCUGCAGAUCCGGCAAUGAUGAGCCCUAGGAGGCUUGUAUGUGCAACACUUGUCACAUUGCCUCAAUUGUGAACUCUAUCAAAAACUAAGUAUUUAUUAGGUCUAGAGCCACAUUGCAAAGUGAAGUCUAUUUUAAAACUGUGGAAAAGAAAUAGACAGAUGCCAGAAUCUUUCCCAGUGUUUAAUACCACAGAAACAUAUAAUUUUAUCCAGAACACUUUAAUUGUCCCCCUAAAUAUUGCAUUUUCUAGGAAAAAAAAUUCUUCAAAAGGGCCAUGUAACCAUAUAAUUAACAUCUCAGUACGUAUUCUUCCUUAAUUUUCCCAUAAACCAAACAAAAAUACACAAAAACAAAAGAAACACAUUAUUAUAAUAAAAUCUAGAAUAUGUAGGCAAGUAUUAGCUUAAAUUAUUUUGCGAUUCUUGAUCUGGGGCAUCAUUCCCUUUAAUGUCAGGGACAUAAGAGGAAGGUACAUGACCAGGGUCAGUAAGAACACAGACAGAAAAAGAGAAAACACAUAAAGAAGCCAUCCAAGUGAAGAUCAAAGCAUUCAAAGUUCCAGCUGAGCUCUGCAAACCAACCCAAUCCACGAUGAAAAUGAAGAGUGUAUAAUAGUAGAUAAAACCCAUUAACAGAAACACAGAAAAGACUGGGAUCGAUAGAAAUCUCUGGCAUUUCAUAGUGGAUAUAUCGGAUUUCUUUGGUCGAGGAGCAGAACUGGGAAGUCAAAUUGAUGUGUUCUGCUUCCGUUCUGUUUGGCGUGUUUGCUAGAUA
rnacentral:misc_RNA from 1 species